GUGGGGAAUAUUGCGCAAUGGGGGAAACCCUGACGCAGCAAUACCGCGUGAGUGAAGAAGGUUUUCGGAUCGUAAAACUCUUUUAUUGGGGAAGAAGAAGUGACGGUACCCAAUGAAGAAGUCCCGGCUAACUACGUGCCAGCAGCCGCGGUAAUACGUAGGGGACAAGCGUUGUCCGGAAUCACUGGGCGUAAAGGGCGCGUAGGCGGUUUUAUAAGGCAGAUGUGAAAGGUACCGGCUCAACCGGUGACGUGCAUUUGAAACUGUAAGACUUGAGUACUGGAGAGGCAAGUGGAAUUCCUAGUGUAGCGGUGAAAUGCGUAGAUAUUAGGAGGAACACCGGUGGCGAAGGCGGCUUGCUGGACAGAUACUGACGCUGAGGUGCGAAAGCGUGGGGAGCGAACAGGAUUAGAAACCCUGGUAGUCC
rnacentral:rRNA from 1 species